AAGCCAGUCGUACCGGCGGGUAAUCAGCCUUUUGGGUGUGAUUAUGUGGAGCGUGAGGAGUUAAACACCUUCAUCUUUACAUAUUCGUGCACUUUGGGUGUACUUGCUCGUGUGGUAGGUUAACAUCAAUUUUGAUCGUCAUAAAAUGAUUGGAGGAAUGUAGCUUCGAUCUCGUAUUGAAGUGUUAUAGCCUUUGGUAGAUGUGAUGAUUGGGAUUGAGGAUUGCAACGGAUACCCUUCGGGGCUACCUGUCUGAUCUCUGAAAGUUGCUCUGGUGGCGAAAGCUUGCUUACGUUAUCAAAGUUGACGUUCAACAGGUUAGAACGGGAUAAAUUCGUUAAGGAUGUUGACGUAAUGGCUUUAAACGACCCGUCUUGAAACACGGACCAAGA
rnacentral:rRNA from 1 species